rnacentral:rRNA from 1 species
AUUGAACGCUGGCGGCAGGCCUAACACAUGCAAGUCGAACGGUAACAGGAAGAAGCUUGCUUCUUUGCUGACGAGUGGCGGACGGGUGAGUAAUGUCUGGGAAACUGCCUGAUGGAGGGGGAUAACUACUGGAAACGGUAGCUAAUACCGCAUAACGUCGCAAGACCAAAGAGGGGGACCUUCGGGCCUCUUGCCAUCGGAUGUGCCCAGAUGGGAUUAUCUAGUAGGUGGGGUAACGGCUCACCUGGGCGACGAUCCCUAGCUGGUCUGAGAGGAUGACCAGCCACACUGGAACUGAGACACGGUCCAGACUCCUACGGGAGGCAGCAGUGGGGAAUAUUGCACAAUGGGCGCAAGCCUGAUGCAGCCAUGCCGCGUGUAUGAAGAAGGCCUUCGGGUUGUAAAGUACUUUCAGCGGGGAGGAAGGGAGUAAAGUUAAUACCUUUGCUAAUUGACGUUACCCGCAGAAGAAGCACCGGCUAACUCCGUG